UCCAGACUCCUACGGGAGGCAGCAGUGAGGAAUAUUGGUCAAUGGCCGGAAGGCUGAACCAGCCAAGUCGCGUGAGGGACGACUGCCCUAUGGGUUGUAAACCUCUUUUAUAAGGGAAGAAUAAAUGCUACGUGUAGCAUGAUGCCUGUACCUUAUGAAUAAGCAUCGGCUAACUCCGUGCCAGCAGCCGCGGUAAUACGGAGGAUGCGAGCGUUAUCCGGAUUUAUUGGGUUUAAAGGGUGCGCAGGCGGGCUGUUAAGCCGGCGGUAAAAAUUCAGGGCUCAACCCUGUCGAGCCGUCGGAACUGGCAGCCUUGAGUGGGCGAGAAGUAUGCGGAAUGCGUGGUGUAGCGGUGAAAUGCAUAGAUAUCACGCAGAACUCCGAUUGCGAAGGCAGCAUACCGGCGCCCGACUGACGCUGAGGCACGAAAGCGUGGGGAUCGAACAGGAUUAGAUACCCGCGUA
rnacentral:rRNA from 1 species